AUUGAACGCUGGCGGCAGGCCUAACACAUGCAAGUCGGGCGGUAACAGGGAUAGCUUGCUAUCUGCUGACGAGCGGCGGACGGGUGAGUAAUGCAUAGGAAUCUGCCUGAUAGUGGGGGAUACCCCAGAGAAAUUUGGAUUAAUACCGCAUACGCCCUACGGGGGAAAGCUGGGGACCUUCGGGCCUAGCGCUAUCAGAUGAGCCUAUGUCGGAUUAGCUUGUUGGUGAGGUAACGGCUCACCAAGGCGACGAUCCGUAGCUGGUCUGAGAGGAGAUCAGCCACAC
rnacentral:rRNA from 1 species